rnacentral:rRNA from 1 species
CACGUAGGGGCCAAGCGUUGUCCGGAUUCAUUGGGCGUAAAGAGCUCGUAGGCGGUUCAGUUAGUCGGGUGUGAAAUCUCCGGGCUCAACCCGGAGGGGCCACCCGAUACUGCUGUGACUUGAGUCCGGUAGGGGAGUGGGGAAUUCCUGGUGUAGCGGUGGAAUGCGCAGAUAUCAGGAGGAACACCGGUGGCGAAGGCGGGUCUCUGGGCCGUAACUGACGCUGAGGAGCGAAAGCGUGGGGAGCGAACAGG